rnacentral:rRNA from 1 species
GACGAACGCUGGCGGCGUGCCUAAUACAUGCAAGUCGAGCGGACCAAAGGGAGCUUGCUCCUGGAGGUUAGCGGCGAACGGGUGAGUAACACGUGGGCAACCUGCCUGUAAGACUGGGAUAACAUCGAGAAAUCGGUGCUAAUACCGGAUAAUAAAAAGAACUGCAUGGUUCUUUUUUGAAAGAUGGUUUCGGCUAUCACUUACAGAUGGGCCGCGGCGCAUUAGCUAGUUGGUGAGGUAACGGCUCACCAAGGCAACGAUGCGUAGCCGACCUGAGAGGGUGAUCGGCCACACUGGGACUGAGACACGGCCCAGACUCCUACGGGAGGCAGCAGUAGGGAAUCUUCCGCAAUGGACGAAAGUCUGACGGAGCAACGCCGCGUGAGUGAUGAAGGUUUUCGGAUCGUAAAACUCUGUUGUUAGGGAAGAACAAGUGCCGUUCGAAAGGGCGGCACCUUGACGGUACCUAACGAGAAAGCCACGGCUAACUACGUGCCAGCAGCCGCGGUAAAG